ACUGAAACAUCGGUUCUCGUACGGUCACCAAUGUUAAGAAACGUUGAGCCUGGUCAGUACCUAGAAGGGUAACCGCUUGGGAAUACCAGGUACUGUAAG